CCUGCCCAGUGAUAGGAUGUUGAGUCUUCUUCUGGCUGACGGUCAAACUUGGGAGCUGUUGGUGCAGAAAGUAGUUGAAGUCAUGACUUGGAUGAGAAACCCAGGGAAAGAGUAAUGAUAAGCAGAGACAGGGCAGCCCAAGGACUGGGCCCCGGGCACUCCGACAGCGGGAGCUGUGCGAAGAGAGGAGGAAGAACAAGAGGCAGGACACACGAGCAGCUGGUGACGCACCCAGAGAACUAACAGAGAAUGGCAUUUGGGAAUCCAGGGUGAAACAUUUGAAUUGACAAUGGCUGGAAUGGAAGAAAACAUACCUUGGUCUGGAGAUGUCUCUGCUUCUGUGGUAUUCAAAAGCAUGUCUCUGAUCCUCCUCAUGUUCAGAAUGGCAGGUGUUCUGGCUGGGAAGAGACGCUGUACCACCUUUCUAGGGGAGAAAACAGGCCUUCUCAUGAGUAUGGAGAUAGUAAGGGAAGGUCGAUCCAAAGCCCCUUUCUAUCACUUACCUGACCCGGGAUCUCAAGGCGUUUAAGACACCAUUGUACGUUUCCCUUCUCAGAUAAGAGAAAUAGUUUGAGAUAAUGAGAAAUAACCUACAGAUAAGUAAAAUAGCUAGUAAAAUGCCUAGCUCAAUAAAUGUUCAGGA